GGAUCAGUAGGUUGGUCGUGCCACUGGUAUGUACUGGCCUCACUGGUUCCUCCUUCUUGUAGAACCGUAAUGCCAUUAAUUUGGUGUUGCGGGGAAACAGGACUGUUACUUUGAAAAAAUUAGAGUGUUCAAAGCAGGCACAUGCCUGAAUACAUUAGCAUGGAAUAACAAAGUAGGACG
rnacentral:rRNA from 1 species